CUUUAUAUAAUCUGGCUAUUUUUUACUCUUUUUAUAGUUCUAUGUGAGAAAUCGCUUUGCAAGUAGUAUAAAAUAUUGCUAUGUUGAACCUGGCCCGAAGAGAUCCAACUAAUCAUUCUCUGUUGAUUUCAUAUUGAAUUCUUUCACCGCGUUCACCGCCAUUCACCGCAUAAUAGUCUCCUGCACCGCAUGAGAUAAGCAGGUGACAACAAUCUACUAUUGUCUUUAAUUUCACAAAAAUUUCAGAUCGUCCCUGGUGGCUUAGUGGUAGUUCGUAUGGCCUGUCUCUAUUAACGUUUGGGUUCAAAUCACGUUGAACUCAUAUUUUGUAGCGGACUCACAAUAUUUUUUUUCCCUUUAUAUAAUCUGGCUAUUUUUUACUCUUUUUUUAGUUCUAUGUGAGAAAUCGCUUUGCAAGUAGUAUAAAAUAUUGCUAUGUUGAACCUGGCCCGAAGAGAUCCAGCUAAUCAUUCUCUGUUGAUUUCAUAUUGAAUUCUUUCACCGCGUUCACCGCCAUUCACCGCAUAAUAGUCUCCUACACCGCAUGAGAUAAGCAGGUCACAACAAUUUACUAUUGUCUUUAAUUUCACAAAAAUUUCAGAUCGUCCCUGGUGGCUUAGUGGUAGUUCGUCUGGCCUGUCUCUAUUAACGUUUGGGUUCAAAUCACGUUGAACUCAUAUUUUGUAGCGGACUCUCAAUAUUUUUUUUCCCUUUAUAUAAUCUGGCUAUUUUUUACUCUUUUUAUAGUUCUAUGUGAGAAAUCGCUUUGCAAGUAGUAUAAAAUAUUGCUAUGUUGAACCUAGCCCGAAGAGAUCCAGCUAAUCAUUCUGUGUUGAUUUCAUAUUGAAUUUUUUCACCGCGUUCACCGCCAUUCACCGCAUAAUAGUCUCCUACACCGUAUGAGAUAAGCAGGUCACAACAAUCUACUAUUGUCUUUAAUUUCACAAAAAUUUCAGAUCGUCCCUGGUGGCUUAGUGGUAGUUCGUUUGGCCUAUCUCGAUAAACGUUUGAGUUCAAAUCACGCUGAACUCAUAUUUUGUAGCAGACUCACAAUUUUUUUUCCCUUUAAUCUUUAUAUAAUCUGGCUAUUUUUUACUCUUUUUAUAUUUCUAUGUGAGAAAUUGCUUUACAAGCAGAAAAAAAUAUUGCUAUGUUGAACCUGGCCCGAAGAGAUCCAGCUAAUCAUUCUGUGUUGAUUUCAUAUUGAAUUCUUCACCGCGUUCACCGCCAUUCACCGCAUAAUAGUCUCCUACACCGCAUGAGAUAAGCAGGUCACAACAAUCUACUAUUGUCUUUAAUUUCGCAAGAACUUCAGAUCGUCCCUGGUGGCUUAGUGGUAGUUCGUAUGUCCUGUCUCUAUUAACGUUUGGGUUCAAAUCCCGUUGAACUCAUAUUUUGUAGCGGAUUCUCAAUAUUUUUCUUCCCUUUAUAUAAUCUGGCUAUUUUUUACUCUUUUUAUAGUUCUAUGUGAGAAAUCGCUUUGCAAGUAGUAUAAAAUAUUGCUAUGUUGAACCUGGCCCGAAGAGAUCCAGCUAAUCAUUCUGUGUUGAUUUCAUAUUGAAUUUUUUCACCGCGUUCACCGCCAUUCACCGCAUAAUAGUCUCCUACACCGUAUGAGAUAAGCAGGUCACAACAAUCUACUAUUGUCUUUAAUUUCACAAAAAUUUCAGAUCGUCCCUGGUGGCUUAGUGGUAGUUCGUUUGGCCUAUCUCGAUAAACGUUUGAGUUCAAAUCACGCUGAACUCAUAUUUUGUAGCAGACUCACAAUUUUUUUUCCCUUUAAUCUUUAGAUAAUCUGGCUAUUUUUUACUCUUUUUAUAUUUCUAUGUGAGAAAUUGCUUUACAAGCAGAAAAAAAUAUUGCUAUGUUGAAGCUGGCCCGAAGAGAUCCAGCUAAUCAUUCUGUGUUGAUUUCAUAUUGAAUUCUUCAACGCGUUCACCGCCAUUCACCGCAUAAUAGUCUCCUACACCGCAUGAGAUAAGCAGGUCACAACAAUCUACUAUUGUCUUUAAUUUCGCAAGAACUUCAGAUCGUCCCUGGUGGCUUAGUGGUAGUUCGUAUGUCCUGUCUCUAUUAACGUUUGGGUUCAAAUCCCGUUGAACUCAUAUUUUGUAGCGGACUCUCAAUAUUUUUUUUCCUUUAUAUAAUCUGGCUAUUUUUUACUCUUUUUAUAGUUCAAUGUGAGAAAUCGCUUUGCAAGUAGUAUAAAAUAUUGCUAUGUUGAACCUGGUCCGAAGAGAUCCAGCUAAUCAUUCUGUGUUGAUUUCAUAUUGAAUUCUUUCACCGCGUUCACCGCCAUUCACCGCAUAAUAGUCUCCUACACCGUAUGAGAUAAGCAGGUCACAACAAUCUACUAUUGUCUUUAAUUUCACAAAAAUUUCAGAUCGUCCCUGGUGGCUUAGUGGUAGUUCGUUUGGCCUAUCUCGAUAAACGUUUGAGUUCAAAUCACGCUGAACUCAUAUUUUGUAGCAGACUCACAAUUUUUUUUCCCUUUAAUCUUUAGAUAAUCUGGCUAUUUUUUACUCUUUUUAUAUUUCUAUGUGAGAAAUUGCUUUACAAGCAGAAAAAAAUAUUGCUAUGUUGAAGCUGGCCCGAAGAGAUCCAGCUAAUCAUUCUGUGUUGAUUUCAUAUUGAAUUCUUCAACGCGUUCACCGCCAUUCACCGCAUAAUAGUCUCCUACACCGCAUGAGAUAAGCAGGUCACAACAAUCUACUAUUGUCUUUAAUUUCGCAAGAACUUCAGAUCGUCCCUGGUGGCUUAGUGGUAGUUCGUAUGUCCUGUCUCUAUUAACGUUUGGGUUCAAAUCCCGUUGAACUCAUAUUUUUUAGCGGACUCUCAAUAUUUUUCCCCUUUAUUUAUUCUUGCUAUUUUUUAUACUUUUUGUACUUCUAUGUGAGAAAUCGCUUUGCAAGUAGUAUAAAAUAUUGCUAUGUUGAACCUGGCCCGAAGAGAUGCAGCUAAUCAUUCUGUGUUGAUUUCUUAUUGAAUUCUUUCACCGCGUUCACCGCCAUUCACCGCAUAAUAGUCUCCUACACCGCAUGAGAUAAGCAGGUCAGAACAAUCUACUAUUGUCUUUAAUAUCACAAAAAUUUCAGAUCGUCCCUGGUGGCUUAGUGGUAGUUCGUCUGGCCUGUCUCUAUUAACGUUUGGGUUCAAAUCACGUUGAACUCAUAUUUUGUAGCGGACUCACAAUAUUUUUUUCCCUUUAUAUAAUCUGGCUAUUUUUUACUCUUUUUAUAGUUCUAUGUGAGAAAUCGCUUUGCAAGUAGUAUAAAAUAUUGCUAUGUUGAAGCUGGCCCGAAGAGAUCCAGCUAAUCAUUCUCUGUUGAUUUCAUAUUGAAUUCUUUCACCGCGUUCACCGCCAUUCACCGCAUAAUAGUCUCCUGCACCGCAUGAGAUAAUCAGGUCACAACAAUCUACUAUUGUCUUUAAUUUCACAAAAAUUUCAGAUCGUCCCUGGUGGCUUAGUGGUAGUUCGUCUGGCCUGUCUCUAUUAACGUUUGGGUUCAAAUCACGUUGAACUCAUAUUUUGUAGCGGACUCACAAUAUUUUUUUCCCUUUAUAUAAUCUGGCUAUUUUUACACUUUUUAUACUUCUAUGUGAGAAAUCGCUUUGCAAGUAGUAUAAAAUAUUGCUAUGUUGAACCUGGCCCAAAGAGAUCCAGCUAAUAAUUCUCUGUUGAUUUCAUAUUGAAUUCUUUCACCGCGUUCACCGCCAUUCACCGCAUAAUAGUCUCCUACACCGCAUGAGAUAAGCAGGUCACAACAAUCUACUAUUGUCUUUAAUUUCACAAAAAUUUCAGAUCGUCCCUGGUGGCUUAGUGGUAGUUCGUCUGGCCUGUCUCUAUUAACAUUUGGGUUCAAAUCGCGUUGAACUCAUAUUUUGUAGCGGACUCUCAAUAUUUUUCUUCCCUUUAUAUAAUCUGGCUAUUUUUUACUCUUUUUAUAGUUCUAUGUGAGAAAUCGCUUUGCAAGUAGUAUAAAAUAUUGCUAUGUUGAACCUGGCCCGAAGAGAUCCAGCUAAUCAUUCUGUGUUGAUUUCAUGUUGAAUUCUUUCACCGCGUUCACCGCCAUUCACCGCAUAAUAGUCUCCUUCACCUCAUGAGAUAAGCAGGUCACAACAAUCUACUAUUCUGGCUUUAAUUUCACAAGAAUUUCAGAUCGUUCCUGGUGGCUUAGUGGUAGGCCGUUUGGCCUAUCACUAUUAACGUUUGGGUUCAAAUCCCGUUGAACUCAUAGCGGACUCACAAUUGUUUUUUUCUUUAUUUAUUCAGGCUAUUUUUUUUUCUUUUUAUACUUCUAUGUGAGAAAUCGCUUUAUUGCUAUUUCCAACCUGGCCCUUAUGCAAAUGUUCGUUAUCGGUCCUUCAUAAUAAGUUAUACUAACCUUAUCCGUUAUCCGGGAUUCUCGAGUCAACUAAAUUUCGGACUGAUGGAAAAAAAUUUU
rnacentral:lncRNA from 1 species